rnacentral:rRNA from 1 species
GUAGUCUCGCACAGAUGCAUAUCAAUAAGCGGAGGAAAAGAAACUAACAAGGAUUCCCCUAGUAACGGCGAGUGAAGCGGAGAAGAGCUCAAAUUUGAAAUCUUAAAGGGUUUCCCUUUACGAAUUGUAGUUUAAAGAAGUGUUUUCUGUUGAGGUUUUGGUAAAAGUUCUUUGGAAUAGGACAUCAUAGAGGGUGAGAAUCCCGUAUUUGACCUUUACUUUCAACUUUGUGAUACACUUUCAAAGAGUCGGAUUGUUUGGGAAUGCAGUCCAAAAUGGGUGGUAAAUUUCAUCUAAAGCUAAAUAUUGGCGAGAGACCGAUAGCGAACAAGUACCGUGAGGGAAAGAUGAAAAGAACUUUGAAAAGAGAGUUAAACAGUACGUGAAAUUGUCAAAAGGGAAGCGUUUGACACCAGUGUUGUUCUUCUGAAAAUCAAUUAAAGAACUGUUUAUGCUAAGCUGUUUAGACUUUAUCAGCUAAUCUGUUUAGUUUUGAGCUUUUCUUUAAUGCACUUUUCAGUUAACAAGUCAACAUCAAUUUCUUUUGCUGUAAAAAAGCUUGAGGAAGGUGGCUUGAGAUUCGUCUUAAGUGUUUAUAGCCUCUUGCCUAUGCAGUCGGAGAGAUUGAGGUCUGCAGCGUAGAUCCUUCGGGGCUAAAUGCAUUUGUGCUAAGUUAUAGCAUUUUAUAGACAACUUGUUGACUAUGAUUUGUCUUGUAGCUUACUCGCUUAUGUUAUUUUACCUACGCUUAGGAUGUUGACGCAUGAGAUAUACGC